CCUGCCUUUUUGUUAAGGUGUGCGUGUGCGUGCAUGUGUGUGGUUGUGGGCACACCAUUGUGCGCGGUUGUGGGCACAGCUGGCUAACCUUUGCUUACCUAAGGUUACCAUAGAGGUUUACAUUCGCCUUGCCAAUCAACGCCAUCAAACGACACAGCUCUCUCCACAGAGAGUUCAAAAGGCAGGAAUGCAAUACUCUGAAUGUGUUUUUACACUCAGCGGCGCAAAUAUUGUGGUUAUGAAACCAUAUGGGUUGUGAGCUGCCUGACUCUGAUGUUGACAGGGAGACUUCUAGAGACUGAGGGCGCAUAACUUAAUUGCUUAGGCCUAGUUAUGACCUUAGAAAACCGUUUCUGUGUCUGAAAUAGCACCCUAUAGUGUACUAGUGAGUAGUACGCAAUAUGGGCAUUCUAUUCCCUAUAUAGUGCACUAGACUAAGGAAUAGGGUGGCAUUUCGACACAGAUAAUGUCUGAUAGGAGACCAUGGUGAUUUUUAGCCUCAAAUUUAUGAAAUAGGUGUGCUCAUUCAUGCUAAGUCACAGUUCAGCUGAUUGAUCAUUAUUAUGAUAAGUGUCUCUCUGGCUUGAUUGUGUGAAUGAAGGAAGCCUACUCAUCAUAUGAUUUUCAUUCCACUACUUGGCCUGAUUUGACCUGAUGUCCUUAGCCAGAUCACAUUCAUAAAGUACUUUAUAAUAAAUUUUCUGCCCCUUCUGUUUCCCAGCAAAUGGAACCAUAUUUCCUAUAUAUAGCUGUGGUUAAAAGUAGUGCAUUAAAUAGGGAAUAGGAGGGUGUCAUUUAAUAUGUUUGUUGGAGACUGAAUGAAUGGAACAACUGGAGUAAAGGCAGACCAGGAUUCUCUCGGUUCAACCUCCAUUUUGGAAUCUAUAGACCAGGAUUCUCUCUGUUUAAACUCCAGUUUGGAAUUUACAGACCAGGAUUCUCUCUGUUUAAACUCUAGUUUGGAAUCUACAGACCAGGAUUCUCUCUGUUGGAACUCCAGUUUGGAAUCUACAGACCAGGAUUCUCUCCGUUUAAACUCAAUUUUGGAAUCUACAGACCAGGAUUCUCUCUGUUCAACCUACAGUUGCCUUUGAAUUUAUUUUUAGAAACAUGAGUUUGGCCAGAGUAUGUGGCUACAGGGUCAUUUGAUGGUGUCUUUGGAGCAGGUCAGCAGUGCAGAAUAUCCUCUCCACGCUUACAAAGCCACUGGGGAUGAUAAACACCCUUUGUGCCACUCUUGCCAGGCUGGGCAAGGAUGCAUAGUUUUGGUUUUGGUUUUAUCUGCCCACCUCAUGCCUUUCUGUUAGCAUGUGCAUGUAGUAAGUACACCGUCAUGCUUUCAGGAUAUGUCUUUUCCGAUUUUUUAGUUGUGGACAUUACAUCACCACACUCCCUCUCUUGGUUUUGGUCCUGAUCUUUGUAAGUCACCUUGAUUUUGCGCCUGUGUUUUUUAUCACUUUCUUUAUGAAAAGAUUUUGUGAAUUCCAUGACAAGGGGUUAUAGCAGUACACA
rnacentral:lncRNA from 1 species